rnacentral:rRNA from 1 species
AUUGAACGCUGGCGGCAUGCUUUACACAUGCAAGUCGAACGGUAACAGGCCUUCGGGUGCUGACGAGUGGCGAACGGGUGAGUAAUGCAUCGGAACGUGCCCAAUCGUGGGGGAUAACGUAGCGAAAGUUACGCUAAUACCGCAUAAGCCCUGAGUGGGAAAGCAGGGGAUCGCAAGACCUUGCGCGAAUGGAGCGGCCGAUGUCAGAUUAGCUAGUUGGUGGGGUAAAGGCCUACCAAGGCGACGAUCUGUAGCGGGUCUGAGAGGAUGAUCCGCCACACUGGGACUGAGACACGGCCCAGACUCCUACGGGAGGCAGCAGUGGGGAAUUUUGGACAAUGGGCGCAAGCCUGAUCCAGCCAUGCCGCGUGCGGGACGAAGGCCUUCGGUUGUAAACCGCUUUCAGCCGGAAAGAAAUACGCCAAGGCUAAUAUCCUUGGUGGAUGACGGUACCGGAAGAAGAAGCACCGGCUAACUACGUGCCAGCAGCCGCGGU